GACGGAGGAUGCAAGCGUUAUCCGGAAUGAUUGGGCGUAAAGCGUCCGCAGGUGGCAGUUCAAGUCUGCUGUCAAAGACCGGGGCUUAACUUCGGAAAGGCAGUGGAAACUGAACAGCUAGAGUAUGGUAGGGGCAGAGGGAAUUCCUGGUGUAGCGGUGAAAUGCGUAGAGAUCAGGAAGAACAUCGGUGGCGAAGGCGCUCUGCUGGACCAUAACUGACACUCAGGGACGAAAGCUAGGGGAGCGAAUGG
rnacentral:rRNA from 1 species